rnacentral:rRNA from 1 species
UUCUGGCUCAGGACGAGCGCUGGCGGCGUGCCUAACACAUGCAAGUCGAGCGAUGAAGUUCUCGGAACGGAUUAGCGGCGGACGGGUGAGUAACACGUGGGUAACCUGCCUUGUAGAGGGGGAUAGCUUCCGAAAGGAAGAUUAAUACCGCAUAACAUCUUUUUAUCGCAUGGUAGAAAGAUCAAAGGAGCAAUCCGCUACAAGAUGGACCCGCGGCGCAUUAGCUAGUUGGUGAGGUAACGGCUCACCCAAGGCGACGAUGCGUAGCCGACCUGAGAGGGUGAUCGGCCACAUUGGAACUGAGACACGGUCCAGACUCCUACGGGAGGCAGCAGUGGGGAAUAUUGCGCAAUGGGGGGAAAAACCCCCUGACGCAGCAACGCCGCGUGAAUGAAGAAGGCCUUAGGGUUGUAAAGUUCUGUUUACGGGGACGAUAAUGACGGUACCCGUGGAGGAAGCCACGGCUAACUACGUGCCAGCCGCUGC